ensembl:misc_RNA Metazoa_SRP Metazoan signal recognition particle RNA
GCUGGGCAUGGUGGUGCAUACCUAUAGUCCUAGCUACUGGGAGGCUGAGGCAGGAGGAUCUCUUGUGCCUUGGAGGUCGAGGCUGCAGUGAGCUGUGAUGGUAUCACUGCACUCCAGCCUGGGCAACAGAGUGAGACUCUGUCUCAA